UAAAAAUAAAAAUGAUCAUGUUACGUGUGAGCAGGCCAUUUGUGGAGCUGGGCUAAGCUGGGAGAAGUGCCCCUUUCACCCCUGGCAGUGGGUUGAAGCCUCUGUUUUGGCUGAGAGCGAGAGGAACGGGCUGGUGUCUCCUUGGUCCCGAAGAAGUGGGAUUUCAUAUGUCAAAGAGCCACACUGAGAUGAAGGCAAUUGGAAGUAACUGCUCAGAAGAAGAUGCCCAAGAGGUCCAUUAGAAUAACCCACCAUGCAUCAUGACAGACCUCACCCGGGAACAGCCGUAAAGACAGAAGGGCGGCAGGAUCCUGCUACACACCCCAGUAACCCACAGCCUCCCUCUGUGCACACAACUCCCACGGAUGCAGUAAAACCUGAUUUAAGUGCCAGCAGAGAGACUGCUUGAAGGGGAGCUUGGCACCAUGUUUCUUGGCCCCACCAAAUCUGGAUUAUGAUGGAUACCAUAAAUACAUAAAGGAAAUGUUUCCAUGUGAAAGCCCUGUACUAUAUGGACUGCACCCCAAUGCUGAGAUGGGAUUCUUGACAACAUCAGAUAAUCUCUUCAAAAUUCCUUUGGAAAACAACCCAUGGGAGAGGGAUCAGGCCAAUCUGCAGUUAAAGAGGGGGAGCUGAUCUUUUCUGCUCACGUGGAAGUGCUGCAAUACACACUCUUCUGUGAUGUUGUGCCAGACACAUGGACUAAACCAGCAUAUCCAUCCACACACAGCUUUAUCCACUGCUGUAAUGCAGUGCAGGAAAAACUGGCUUUUGGAUAAGGUGUGCUCGACUGCAGAUGUUACCAAAAAGACCAAAGAGCCUGUAUCUGUGUGCCUUCCAUGCAAGGCUCAAGAGUGAUACUUACUGGAUCAAGCAGAGCUGACUUCACAUCUUCACCGUAUCGAUUUCGAAGACAUGGUCCAC